rnacentral:rRNA from 1 species
UGCUCAGAACGAACGCUGGCGGCAGGCUUAACACAUGCAAGUCGAGCGCCCCGCAAGGGGAGCGGCAGACGGGUGAGUAACGCGUGGGAACGUACCUUUUGCUACGGAAUAACUCAGGGAAACUUGUGCUAAUACCGUAUGUGCCCUUCGGGGGAAAGAUUUAUCGGCAAAGGAUCGGCCCGCGUUGGAUUAGCUAGUUGGUGAGGUAAAGGCUCACCAAGGCGACGAUCCAUAGCUGGUCUGAGAGGAUGAUCAGCCACACUGGGACUGAGACACGGCCCAGACUCCUACGGGAGGCAGCAGUGGGGAAUAUUGGACAAUGGGCGCAAGCCUGAUCCAGCCAUGCCGCGUGAGUGAUGAAGGCCCUAGGGUUGUAAAGCUCUUUCACCGGUGAAGAUAAUGACGGUAACCGGAGAAGAAGCCCCGGCUAACUUCGUGCCAGCAGCCGCGGUAAUACGAAGGGGGCUAGCGUUGUUCGGAUUUACUGGGCGUAAAGCGCACGUAGGCGGACUUUUAAGUCAGGGGUGAAAUCCCGGGGCUCAACCCCGGAACUGCCUUUGAUACUGGAAGUCUUGAGUAUGGUAGAGGUGAGUGGAAUUCCGAGUGUAGAGGUGAAAUUCGUAGAUAUUCGGAGGAACACCAGUGGCGGAAGGCGGCUCACUGGACCAUUACUGACGCUGA